rnacentral:rRNA from 1 species
GUCUUUUUGAAAUAAUUUAAAGUCUGACCUGCCCAAUGAAAUAUUAAAUGGCCGCAGUAUAUUAACUGUGCAAAGGUAGCAAAAUCAUUAGUUUUUUAAUUAGAAACUGGAAUGAAGGGUUUUACGAAAAAAUUUCUGUCUCAGUUUUAUUGUUUUAGAAUUUUAUUUUUAAGUUAAAAAGCUUAAAUAUAUUUAAAAGACGAGAAGACCCUAUAGAGUUUUAUAUAAUAACUUAAAAUUUAAAUUAAUUAGAAAUAUAAGAUAAAUUUUAUUUAAUUAUAUUUUAUUGGGGUGAUAAAAUAAUUUAAUAAACUUAUUUUUUUAAAAAAACAUUGAUUUAUGAAUAAUUGAUCCAUAAAAAUGAUUAUAAGAUUAAAUUACCUUAGGGAUAACAGCGUAAUUUUUUUUGAGAGCUCUAAUCGAAAAAAAAGUUUGCGACCUCGAUGUUGGAUUAAAAUUAAUUUUUGGUGAAGAAGUUAAAAUUAUUUGGUCUGUUCGACCAUUAAAAUUUUACA